rnacentral:ncRNA from 1 species
UUUUGGCGCUUUUUAAAAGCUUAAUAGGGAAGUACGGUGAAAUUCCGUCGCUGUCCCGCAACUGUGACUCGGAGCAUGUCUCAAUUAAGCCACUGCAUAAUUAUGUGGGAAGGCGAGAUAUGUGUUGAAGAGAAGCCAGGAGACCUACCAAAAAUUUC